AUGUACCUCGUCGACCGGAAGGGGUUUCUUCCGGCCGACGAGGUACAUGUACCUCGCCGGCUGGAAGGAUUUCCUUCCAGUCGACAAGGUACAU
rnacentral:miRNA from 1 species